rnacentral:rRNA from 13 species
AGAGAAGGAUGUCAUGACGCUGCUGCCGAAGCUGGACACGAUGAAGAUUGCCGACCUCGUCGCAAGGCUCUGUGAAGUGGAGGCUCUGCGAACAGGCGCGUUCUUGAACGAGCUGACGG